rnacentral:sRNA from 25 species
CCCUUGGAGUGUCACACCAAACUAGAUUAGACUUUAGUCGAAAUAGGAUACGUUGAAGAGGGAA